rnacentral:lncRNA from 1 species
GUUUUCUAUCCCCUUUGAAAAAUUAGGUAAGGCCUGAUGGUUUUUAGGCCUUUCACUAGACUGAUGUUAUUGUCCAAACAGAAGAGCCAUCAGGGGCUCUUCAAACACAAAAUUGUUGUGUUCCCAUAACCUCAGCAGUCCUUAGAUAGACUCGGGGCUGGACAGUGUGUGGUGUCUGUCCGAUGGAGCAGUCUUGAAGCUUUAGGACUCACAUGUGUGAAUUGGCUUCACAAUCAGAAGAUUUCCUCAGAGUAGUCAGAGCAGCCUCAGAGAACUCCUGAAGCAGCUCCGUACGUGAUUGAGACUAGUCCUGCACGGAGCAGCUUGAACUGUUAGUGGUCAACUCUCUGUCAUGGGGUCAGGAUUAUCUUGUGGUUCGAAUGUGCUGUGUGUGGCACAUUCAGGAGAGUCGGGGUCACUUCAGGCUCAGGUGCCAUGGGCAGCCCCUCUUGAAAGCUGCCACUCAACUUCUUGCUCCUCAUUAUCAGAAGAAUGGCAGAUCUGGAUCCAGAUCCCAGAAGGAGUCUCUGCUGGGAUUUUUAAAUUCUGGUUAGUUGUCUUUUGAAAAGCCUGGUACCUUUUUGCUACUAUGCAAAUUGCAUUUUAAUACUGAAGCCAUCAAAAAAAAAGAAAGACCCAGGAGCUAGUGAGAUGGCUCAGGGGUUAAGAGCACUGACUGCUCUUCCAGAGGUUCUGAGUUCAAUUCCCAGCAACUACAUGGUGGCUCACAACCAUCUGUAAUGGGAUCUGAAGCCCUCUUCUGGUGUCUGAAGACAGUUACAGUGUACUCAUACAUAAAGACAAUAAAUAAUUUAAAAAAAUGAAAGACCCAAGUCCAAGCCUGUGUAACAGAAGCACUUGGGAGAAGCAGCAAAGUAUGAAGAAAGUGCAGCAGCCAUCGCUUAACAAUAUCUCACUGCAUAAGGACUGCUAGACUGAACAAUAUCUCACUGCAUAAGGACCGCCAGACUGAACAAUAUCUCACUGCAUAAGGACUGCCAGACUGAACAGUAUCUCACUGCAUAAGGACUGCUAGACUGAACAGUAUCUCACUGCAUAAGGACCGCCAGACUGAACGCUUUCACUGCCCAGUUCUCCCAGUCUGUGGGAUUGUCAGCAGUACCAAGCACUGAUAGCCACAGCGAUUGAUGGUUGUCAAGCAAUAGGAAGCCACUGCUAGGAAGACCUGUAAGAAAAGGAUUCAUUCUGUAGGAGGAAAACUGCAGUGAGUGUUUUAAGGCUAUCCCUGUCCCACGUUGGAUCCUGGACAAGCUAGUCCCUUAAUCUGCAUUGAGAAUUGUAUUCAUGGUGCUGGGUAGCUUCAAGUGCAGUGUGUGAGCCGUAGGCCUCCUCAGUGGUCCAGUAGCUAACUUACAAGCUUUAGGUCAUCAGUAUUGGCCAACCUGAAGGCAUGAAAAUCAAGUGUUCCCUGGAAUUUUGAAGAGAAGACUCAGGACAAGUUGAAAGGCACUGAACCCGUUUGUGUUGAAGCAGAUUAGUAAUUACAAAUAAUUACAAUUGGUGGGGAGAUAUGUUUUAACCUUGAUAUAUUAAAAAGUAUUGUGUGUCACCUGGGAAGAAGUUCUUCACUAGUCCACUCACAUAUGAAGACAAUCUGUGCAGCAUAAUACACGAGGUUUAAACACGAGUGUUGGAUUUUCUUUUCUUUUUUAACCUUAUAAGUGGGUAGAAAUGUCUGGAAUCACUUUUUUUAAAGUACACUCAGGUUAGAGGGUGUUGCUUUACCAUCAUUUCUUUGUUUACUUAUUAAUAUGGUGAGGGUAUUCCAGUAUUUUUGUUUUUUUAUUUUAUUUGUGUGGGCGGGAGGUUGCCUGAAGUCUAUCUCAGUGCUCACCUACAGGGAACCAGGCCUUCUAACGUGUGACAGUGUCUUCCACUGAGACCUGGGAGAUGCUAUCCAGGCAAAGUCAGAGGAUUGAGGGAGGGUUUUAGGGACCUGUUGUUACCUCAUUCUGAGCAGCAGGUUGCCCAGUGCUGGGACAGGGUCUCGAAAUCUUUCAGCAGCUCAGGUAGCUGGAACAGUUCAUCUACUGACUCAGCUGGACUCCUGUCUGAAGAACAGAACAGCAUGGGAGAAAUCACCACAGUCCAUGUUCAUGGAGGCUGAUAAGCUGCUCUUUUCCCCCAAGAUCUUGAGGUGGAACAGCUAGUAUAGCCCACCAUUGAUACAGCUCAUGAGGCCUUCGUGAGGGCCCUUCUAGUUCAGAGACAUCAGAGAGAUCCUAACGAUUGGGUUGUUUCUUUGGGAUCUUAGCCAAGGACCUGGCUUCAGCCAAAAUAUUUUACACCUUCCCUGUAUAGCAGUGCUGCUGUUGCAAAAAUAUAAAAAAUAAAGUAUGGUUGUCUUUU